rfam:Camelus ferus unplaced genomic scaffold scaffold698, whole genome shotgun sequence.
GUGGGUAUAGCUCAUUGGAAGAGUGAGUGCUUAGUGUGUGCGAGGUCCUGGGUUCAAUCCCCAGCACCUCCA